rnacentral:rRNA from 1 species
AGCGGACGCUGGCGGCAGGCUUAACACAUGCAAGUCGAGCGGGCCUUUCGGGGUCAGCGGCGGACGGGUGAGUAACGCGUGGGAACGUGCCCUCUGGUUCGGAAUAACUCAGGGAAACUUGAGCUAAUACCGGAUACGCCCUUUUGGGGAAAGGCUUGCUGCCGGAGGAUCGGCCCGCGUCUGAUUAGCUAGUUGGUGAGGUAACGGCUCACCAAGGCGACGAUCAGUAGCUGGUCUGAGAGGAUGAUCAGCCACACUGGGACUGAGACACGGCCCAGACUCCUACGGGAGGCAGCAGUGGGGAAUAUUGGACAAUGGGCGCAAGCCUGAUCCAGCCAUGCCGCGUGAGUGAUGAAGGCCUUAGGGUUGUAAAGCUCUUUUAUCCGGGACGAUAAUGACGGUACCGGAGCAAUAAGCCCCGGCUAACUUCGUG